rnacentral:lncRNA from 1 species
AGUACCUCCUUUUUCUCUAGUUCUCCAUGUACCUGCUCUUUUAAAGCUUUUUGUUGCUGCUUUAUUGUUCUUCCAUCUCUGAUGCUUUAUGCAGCAGCCUGCCUUGUAGGUAUGUAAUGGGAUAAAAUGAGCAGCUAGAAACACGCUGCUAACAAAAUGCAAAAAAUGAUAAACUGCCAUGGUUACAAAGGGAUGAAUUAAAACAGCUAGCUGCACAGCAGGUUGAUCCUGAGCUAAGAAAAUCUUUCAGCAAUAGCCAUGACCACUGCUGUUGAUAUGUGUGUAGCCGUAAAUCUGGAUGUAGAGGAGCCACUUGACUGAAUUUGCAGGUGCUGCACACUGAUCUGCUUACUGGAGUGCUUUUUGCUGUAAACAUGUAAGGAUGAACAUGUUUGCUUCAGGAAAAAAAAAAAUAGAGAGAGAAAAAAAGGAAUAAAAAACAGGAAAGGAGGGAAUGGCUGUAGAUGAGUCAUUUCUCUGCACACAGCAAGGCCCACAUACCAAAAACCAAAACACACUUUGCAAAGUGCGGGUACCCCAAAAUGACCCGAAAUGAUGCCAGGGCACCGCGGGCUCACUUGGGAUGGGGUGCCCAGUGUGCGGGCCCUGAAAGGAGGGCAGAAAAGCGGCGCUGCAGGCAGGAUGCAGCCUUGAAACGGGGCACACAGGAGCCAGAAGCACGGGGAAGCAUCCACCCAAAGUUGUGUCUGCAGAGCGGUGUUUGGAGGAGCCUCUUGCUCAGCAUCAGUGCCGUGACAGCUCUCCCAGCUCACCGCCCGCUGCCAGCCACGCUCUCCUAUUGUUCCGAGCAGCUGCGGGCGGCAUCAACAACACCGGGAGAGGCAGGAAUUAGCUGGGGACACCCACUAAUUGCCCCCCCCCAGCUACCUGCACCCCCAGGAGGGGUGGAUGCCAGCCGGGGACAGGCGCUGCCCGCCUUCCUCCUCCCCAACACCCGCAGCCUCCCCCUCGCCCACCCGCCGGCCGAGGGCGGUGCUUGCGGCUCGGGGCGGUCCCGGCGUGGCCCCGCCGCCGUUCCCCGGUGCCCUGGAGCCUCUCCUGUCCCUGUCGCUGUCCCUGUCCCCAUCGCCGUCCCCAUCCUCGUCCCUGUCGCCGUCUCCCCGGGCCUGUCAGGGGCCGCCAUGGGGACCAACGCGCCGCCGCGCAGGGAGCCGCCCGCCCGCGGCCCCCACGCAUGAGGAAGUAACCCUGUGCUUAACCUCCGUGCAGAAGAUGGCAGUGGCACUGACUCAGUCUGCCCACACUGCAUGACAGUGCAGCUAUGCACUGACAGGCCCCUUGGUGCAAGUCCAGACUGCGCUUUAGCACCUGUCACCUCAUUUGGGAUGGUUUCCCAGGCAGGGUGAUCAUGAAACCAGCUGCAAGAUCUUGCUCCUUCUGUUAAAAUCCUAAGCAGCGUGCCCUCUCUGGAAAGAAGCAAGCCCAUCUUCCGCGUUUCCCAGCUCUU